rnacentral:misc_RNA from 1 species
UCUCCGUUGGUGAACCAGCGGAGGGAUCAUUACAGGACUCGCAAGACUCCUACAACCCUGUGAACUUAACUAUAAGCACGUUGCUUCGGCGGGUGUCUCGGAGGGGGUUCUCCCUCCCCGAGACGCUAAACCCGCCGGCAGCCUACUAUACUCUGUCUCUUUGCGUUGGCAUCUCGAGUACAAUCAAACAAGUUAUAACUUUCAACAACGGAUCUCUUGGUUCUG